GCGCCCGUAGCUCAGAUGGAUAGAGCGUCUGCCUCCGGAGCAGAAGGUCGGGCGUUCGAGCCGCCCCGGGCGUACCA
rnacentral:tRNA from 1 species